GCGUAUCCGGAUUUAUUGGGUUUAAAGGGUGCGUAGGCGGCUUUUUAAGUCAGGGGUGAAAGACGGUGGCUCAACCAUCGCAGUGCCCUUGAUACUGAAGAGCUUGAAUGAAUUAGAGGUAGGCGGAAUGUGACAAGUAGCGGUGAAAUGCAUAGAUAUGUCACAGAACACCGAUUGCGAAGGCAGCUUACUAUGAUUUUAUUGACGCUGAGGCACGAAAGCGUGGGGAUCAAACAGGAUUAGAUACCCUGGUAGUCCACGCCCUAAACGAUGAAUACUCGCUGUUAGCGAUACACAGUUAGCGGCUAAGCGAAAGCGUUAAGUAUUCCACCUGGGGAGUACGGUCGCAAGAUUGAAACUCAAAGGAAUUGACGGGGGCCCGCACAAGCGGAGGAGCAUGUGGUUUAAUUCGAUGAUACGCGAGGAACCUUACCCGGGCUUGAAAGUUAGUGAAUCAUUUAGAGAUAGAUGAGUCCGCAAGGACACGAAACUAGGUGCUGCAUGGCUGUCGUCAGCUCGUGCCGUGAGGUGUUGGGUUAAGUCCCGCAACGAGCGCAACCCCUAUGUUUAGUUGCCAGCACGUUAAGGUGGGGACUCUAAACAGACUGCCUGUGCAAACAGAGAGGAAGGAGGGGACGACGUCAAGUCAUCAUGGCCCUUACGUCCGGGGCUACACACGUGCUACAAUGGAUGGUACAGAGGGCAGCAAUCUGGUAACAGCAAGCAAAUCUCCAAAAGCCAUUCACAGUUCGGAUAGAGGUCUGCAACUCGACCUCUUGAAGUUGGAUUCGCUAGUAAUCGUAUAUCAGCAAUGAUACGGUGAAUACGUUCCCGGGCCUUGUACACACCGCCCGUCAAGCCAUGGAAGUUGGGGGUACCUAAAGUAUGUAACCGCAAGGAGCGUCCUAGGUAA
rnacentral:rRNA from 1 species